UACGAAGGGGGCUAGCGUUGUUCGGACUCACUGGGCGUAAAGCGCACGUGGGCGGAUUUGUUAGUCAGGGGUGAAAUCCCGGGGCUCAACCUCGGAACUGCCUUUGAUACUGCAAAUCUCGAGUCCGAUAGAGGUGAGUGGAAUUCCUAGUGUAGAGGUGAAAUUCGUAGAUAUUAGGAAGAACACCAGUGGCGAAGGCGGCUCACUGGAUCGGUACUGACGCUGAGGUGCGAAAGCGUGGGGAGCAAACAUG
rnacentral:rRNA from 1 species